rnacentral:rRNA from 1 species
AGAACGAACGCUGGCGGCAUGCCUAACACAUGCAAGUCGAACGAAUGCCCUUCGGGGUGUUAGUGGCGCACGGGUGCGUAACGCGUGGGAAUCUGCCUUUAGGUUCGGAAUAACAGUGAGAAAUUGCUGCUAAUACCGGAUGAUGACGUUAAGUCCAAAGAUUUAUCGCCUAGAGAUGAGCCCGCGUUGGAUUAGGUAGUUGGUGGGGUAAAGGCCUACCAAGCCGACGAUCCAUAGCUGGUCUGAGAGGAUGAUCAGCCACACUGGGACUGAGACACGGCCCAGACUCCUACGGGAGGCAGCAGUGGGGAAUAGUUGGACAAUGGGCGAAAGCCUGAUCCAGCAAUGCCGCGUGAGUGAUGAAGGCCUUAGGGUGUAAAGCUACGUUUACCGGAAGAUAAUGACUGUAACCGGAGAAGUAACGCCCCCGGACUAACCGUCCGACGCCGACGCCACGCCGAC